rnacentral:lncRNA from 1 species
AUAAGUGCAAUUUUUUUGAAGAAGUAUAUUUCUUCUUCUUGCUCAUAUUCUUAAGCUACCAUUCUAGUCUUUAAUUUUUCAGAUUUGCUACUAGGACCUAAUUUGGUUUUGAAGAUCUACUUUGACAAUAUUUGGGCCUUUCAUUCAAGUAAAUCAACUAGAAUUCAAGUGUUGUUUUAUAAUAUUGAUUCAACUUCUUAUUUGAUUGCUUCUUACCAUCCAAUAUGUUGCAUAGCUUCUUUGUAGUUUUUGGAUUUAAUAUUAUUUUUUAGUGCAAAUAUAUAACUAUUCUUAAAUUUAAAGUUUAUUUUAUUUUUUUUAUUUUGAAUUGGAUAUAUUUUCUAACCUCCUUGUUUUAUGGUUUUUUAGUGAAGAACUUAUAUAAGUACACCAUCCAAAGCCAGAUCAAUUAGAUUGCUUAUUGAUAUUGAAGGGAUAUUUGCGCUCUCUUCUUUGUCUAAUGAGUUAUAUUC